rnacentral:lncRNA from 1 species
CUCGGAUCAUACCUUCUGUCUUAUGCUGAUAUUAAAGUGUGUACCACCACUGCCUGGUCUCUAUGGAUAACCAGUGUGGCUUUGCACUUUGAUCUUCAGCCUCUGCACCAGCUCCUGCCUCCAGGUUCCUGUCCUAACUUCCUCCAAGGAUGGACAAUGAUGUCCACCCAGGGAUCCAACCUGUGGGAUGGUGCUGUGCACAUUCAGAUGGAUCUUUCCUUCUUAGUCAAGCAUCUCUGGAAACAUGCCCCGAACGGAUGUGGCCAGGGGUGUGUCUCCUAGGUGACUCAGUCUUGCCAAGCUGACAAUGAACUUCAACCAUCAAAGCCACGUUCUGAAAACAUCAGUAUUGAAACAUAC